rnacentral:rRNA from 1 species
AGCGAACGCUGGCGGCAGGCCUAACACAUGCAAGUCGAACGAACUCUUCGGAGUUAGUGGCGGACGGGUGAGUAACACGUGGGAACGUGCCUUUAGGUUCGGAAUAACUCAGGGAAACUUGUUCUAAUACCGAAUGUGCCCUUCGGGGGAAAGAUUUAUCGCCUUCAGAGCGGCCCGCGUCUGAUUAGCGAGUUGGUGAGGUAAAGGCUCACCAAGGCGACGAUCAGUAGCUGGUCUGGGAGGAUGAUCAGCCACAUUGGGACUGCGACACGGCCCAAACUCCUACGGGAGGCAGCAGUGGGGAAUCUUGCGCAAUGGGCGAAAGCCUGACGCAGCCAUGCCGCGUGAAUGAUGAAGGUCUUAGGAUUGUAAAAUUCUUUCACCGGGGACGAUAAUGACGGUACCCGGAGAAGAAGCCCCGGCUAACUUCGUGCCAGCCGCCGCAGUAA